GUCUUCCCAUCAGGCUGUAGGGUGUAUCCUCUGGGACAUGAGCACAGGUAACUUCCUUCGGUGUUUUUGCACAGGAAGUUACAUGGCUUGGGCGACUGAGAGCAUUCGUCCAUAUCUAAUUGAAAAGCAUCAAGUAUUGCAUGAAAAACAGGCUUUUAGAACCGCAUCCCACUUUGACUUAAAUAAGGGUUAUGGUGAGCGAGGAGAACGUACCGACACAGGAAGUGCCAGUGAAGUCAUUGGUGUAACCCACGUUGCAAUGGCAGCGGAAGGAGCCGACGCUGUUGAUGCACUGACCGUUCUUACACAGCUGAGAUGUCUGACCUCGGCCGUCAGUGGUGUAUCCGGGUCCGAGCGGACACAUCUUCUUGUACUGGAUGGUGCCGGGCAGAGGACAGAGUUCACAGAGCGAGCCCCAGCCACGGCCGGCAUUACAGCAGCACUCCGACUUCGUAACGGUGUUUCUGUUAGUGGACGACUGCUGGCACAUCGUCUGCAGGACCUCCGUGAAGCAGAAGCCCUUCCUGUUAUCUGACAACCGCAACAGGCCAGUUAGACACAAUUAUUCUAAUUUAAAACGGAAAAUGUGUAUUAAAUGAUUGAAAACUGGGGAUUUGAUUCAGUUUUAGCAUUCGUUUUCAUGCGAUUUGUGUACACGUCCCCAUUUGUUUAUUUAUUUAUUUCACAAAAAGGGACAGUGUACAUUAAUCAAUAUUCUUGAAUGUAAAUGUACUCAAAUUAGCCUGAAGGCUAGUUUUCAUUGGUAGUCCCUUUGCUAGAUAUUAUUAGGCCAAAAAACUAGAGAAAUAAAAGAAACACAAUAGAAAAACAAUAACAAUAUUCAACCAAAAAUGAUAAACAACUCUCUAAAAUACAAUUAUACAAAAUUAUAAAAAGUGAAUAAAAAUGAUAUGUUAAUGUCUGUCGUCAGCCACGUUCUGAUUGGCCUCUGACUCUUUCAGCCACGUUCUGAUUGGCCGCUGGCUCUUUCAGCCGCAUUCUGAUUGGCCGCUGGCUCUUACCGAUGCACUCUGUGCCCGUAGAGCUCGGCUCGAAACCCUCGUUACAUUCGCAGCGAUAGCUGCCCACGGUGUUGAUGCAGCGGCCGUUCUUGCAGAUCCCCGGCUUGCUGCGGCACUCGUUCAGAUCUGCCAGAGAGAGAGAGAUGAUCUGAGACGACUUAUGCAACAAGACAGACCGCAACAGCACCAUGAGCACAUGCUAUAUAAAAGUGACUUACUUGCGUAAAUUUAAAUUAUAUCCAGUAUGCAAUACGGAAAAUGGUUUAGGUAACAUCCAAUAAAAAUGUUACAGAUUUUAAUUGCAUAAUAUUGGAGAAAUUGUACCUAUUAUUAUAUAAUUAUAUAAAAUAUAAAUAAUUCUUCUUAUUUUUAUUAUAUUUCUUAUUUAUUUUGGCUUUUGUAUUAAUAUUGGAUAAAAUACAAGAUUAUUAUUUAUUAUUAUUAAUAAUAC
rnacentral:lncRNA from 1 species